UAAAAUCAAUGAAAAGUACUUUAAAAAAUUGUAAAUUUCAUAUGUUGUGGUUACACUGAUCUUUUCUUUGAACAUUUCUGCUGUGAAAUUCUUUUUUUUAAUACAAUGAUUUAAUACCUGCAUUUGGAGACUUAAACUUCUUACAGAUGCUAAUUAAUUAAUUAGGCAAAUAGGUUUGAGGGUAGUUAUGAAGUAGUAAUUUCAGUUUGUGCUCUUCCAGUAACUCAGCAUGACUUUCACUCUCAUUUCUAGCAGAUAUUACAGUGAGAGAUGAGCAUUUCAGUUUGCAGCUGACAGUUUAGGGUUAAGAUAUGAUUCCAGGUAACAGAAGCCAAUGAGAGUACACCCAGUUGAUGUUUGUGACAUCAUCUUCCAGUCGGAGUACAUAGAACAGCUGAGGUAGCGUUCAGUUUCAGCCCCAGUGCCAUUAUGAUGGAUGUUUACAUCUCUUCAUUGAGAGCCAAUUAUCUCGCUUUUGUGUGAGGCCCAAGGAUCACUCAUGCUGCCUGGCUGCACAGAGCACUGUUGGAUCUAGCUGAACGAAUUGUUUUCUGUCUCUGGAUAAUAUAUGGCUUGCAAGGCCCAACCUGGCAGACUGUGUGCUCCACAGCUUUUACAUUCUCUUCUCAUCCCUCUCACUGUCUCUGCUCUGCCCCACCAUGGAUCCUUGGCUACAGCAUUUCCUCAGUAAGUGGAUCCCUCUGAACCUUCUUCACUACUGACCUCCCAGCAUAAAUCUCCAUUAAAGAAAUGCCUGAGGAAGUGAAGAAGAUAUCUUAAGAAAGUCAUCUUCCACUGAUCUUGCUAUGAGAUAUGAAUAUGGGGAAGAAGCUGAACCAACUGAAGCAGUAGUCUUGGUCUGCUCAACAAGCCUGAUGAAAGAAAAGGUUUUAAUAGAAAGAAAACUUCUCAGAUGAGACGGAAAGGAGGGAGAGAAAACAGCAGUUGAGAAGAUGGAGAUAACAUUUUCACCCAAAUUGGGCUAUUUCCAAAUGUUAGGAAGAAAGGAAAAUGAGCAAAGUAGUUGGUACAGAAUUUCUCAUCUCAUAAAUGCAAACUUCCAGGAACCCUUCUUUAUACAUUGUAUUACAGCCAUAUGAG
rnacentral:lncRNA from 1 species